rnacentral:rRNA from 1 species
UACGUAGGGGGCAAGCGUUAUCCGGAUUUACUGGGUGUAAAGGGAGCGUAGACGGCGAUGCAAGCCAGAUGUGAAAGCCCGGGGCUCAACCCCGGGACUGCAUUUGGAACUGUAUAGCUAGAGUGUCGGAGAGGCAGGCGGAAUUCCUAGUGUAGCGGUGAAAUGCGUAGAUAUUAGGAGGAACACCAGUGGCGAAGGCGGCCUGCUGGACGAUGACUGACGUUGAGGCUCGAAAGCGUGGGGUGCAAACAGG